rnacentral:tRNA from 14 species
GACGAGGUGGCUGGCUGGUUAAGGUGAUGAGCUGCUAAUCCAUUGUGCUCUGCACGCGUGGGUUUGAAUCCCAUCUUCGUCG